CCCUUUUCCCUCUUCCUGUUAUAUUCUCUAGACCUAAACCCAAAGCUCUCAUUUUCUUUCCUCUAAUCUAAAAACCCUGUCUCUAAGCAGGUCUCCUCACUCACUCUUCCCCGAUCCCUCUCCUUCUCUCUCUCUCUCCUGCUCCCUCAACUACGACGGCGAGGGGAUAUACGAGGCUUCAACCACGGUGGAGGUCGACGGGGCUGACAGAGGCUCAGCGGGACUGCCGGAGGCUCGACGACGUGGACUCAGAGACUCGUUGGUGCAGGUAAAGAUCUCUCUCUCUCUCUCGUUCUGUUGGUGGGUGAAAGAUUAAUAUUAAUAUAUAAUAAUAAUAUUACACGAUUCAAAAAUGACGGAGAUCACAUGCGAGUGCGACAAUGUCCCACAUUCUAAAUACCAGUGCCAAGCUCUACUUUGCCCCCAGAGCCCAUCUCUUUACCUCUUCUUCUAGCUUUGCUCGUAACCCUUUUCUCCAAAUCCCUUCUUCCAUUCCAAAGCCCCUUUCUCCUCUCAUUUCUAGGGUCUCUCUUUCUUUUAAAGCUUCCAAUCCCACCAUGGGAGACUCUGCCGACGCUGGAAUGGACGCUGUCUAGAGACGCCUUAUGUUUGAGGACGAAUGCAUUCUAGUGGAUAAGAACGACCGGGUUGUUGGUCAUGAUACAAAAUAUAAUUAUCAUGUUCAUUCUGUUGGAUCAGCUGGACCUCUGUGGUUUGCUAAUGCUUUUGUACCCUGUAGGUCACUUGAUGGAAAAGAUUGAAAAGGAAAAUUUGCUGCAUAGGGCUUUCAGUGUGUUUUUGUUCAACUCGAAAUACGAGUUGCUUCUUUAGGUAUUGCUUACAAUAUUUGAGGGACAUCAAGCUAUAUGAUUUGCCAAUUAGGUACCCGAACCUUAGAUCUUGUGGGAGCAAACAAUAGACCUGACUAUUUGAACUGCCCUCCUAGGUGCUUACAUUUAUAGUAAUAAGUGUCAUGUGAAGAACCAAGUCAAGAUCUAGAUCUAUUAGGAGGGCAUAAAUUGAAUAAUUGUGUCAUAUUCUAU